UAUACUAUAUUUUCUGCAGGUACGUGUGUGUGGUUUCAUUCCAACAACAAACAACAGCACCUACUAGUGGCCCUACAAGAAAACUACAUCUUUUUCAGAAUUUUUGCCA